CUUAAGCCCUGUUCUCACCCCUACCAAGCCCCUCGCCCCUCCCCUUUCUCUUCUGGUCUCCCUCUCUGAGCACGGCAGCUGAGCCACUGCCAAACCUCGCUUCAGACACGUGGAAAAAGAGAGAGAGAGGAAA